rnacentral:rRNA from 1 species
UACGGAGGGGGCUAGCGUUGUUCGGAAUUACUGGGCGUAAAGCGCACGUAGGCGGAUCUUUAAGUCAGGGGUGAAAUCCUGGAGCUCAACUCCGGAACUGCCUUUGAUACUGAGGAUCUUGAGUCCGGGAGAGGUGAGUGGAACUCCGAGUGUAGAGGUGAAAUUCGUAGAUAUUCGGAAGAACACCAGUGGCGAAGGCGGCUCACUGGCCCGGUACUGACGCUGAGGUGCGAAAGCGUGGGGAGCAAACAGG